rnacentral:rRNA from 1 species
GACGAACGCUGGCGGCGUGCUUAACACAUGCAAGUCGAACGGAAAGGCCCUGCUUUUGUGGGGUGCUCGAGUGGCGAACGGGUGAGUAACACGUGAGUAACCUGCCCUUGACUUUGGGAUAACUUCAGGAAACUGGGGCUAAUACCGGAUAGGAGCUCCUGCUGCAUGGUGGGGGUUGGAAAGUUUCGGCGGUUGGGGAUGGACUCGCGGCUUAUCGGCUUGUUGGUGGGGUAGUGGCUUACCAAGGCUUUGACGGGUAGCCGGCCUGAGAGGGUGACCGGCCACAUUGGGACUGAGAUACGGCCCAGACUCCUACGGGAGGCAGCAGUGGGGAAUAUUGCACAAUGGGCGGAAGCCUGAUGCAGCAACGCCGCGUGCGGGAUGACGGCCUUCGGGUUGUAAACCGCCUUCGCCUGUGACGAAGCGUGAGUGACGGUAAUGGGUAAAGAAGCACCGGCUAACUACGUG